GUUUCUCAUCGCUUCUAGCCCCCCUCUCUCUCUUAUACGCCUAUUUCUCCCCAUCCGACCUCUCCCAAACGAACCCUAAACAUCCGUUAUUUUUGCCACCAGCUCUCGUCCCCUUCCCUAUAAAAGACUCCCUUUUUGAAAUCCUUGCCUUCUCUUCUUUAAAAAUCGCUUCUUUUCCUCCAUUCCUGCUCAGAUCGAUCGCUCUUCUGCUCUCCUUCGUCCUCGGAACGCCAGAUUUCCUCAAAAACGGGUCGGAUUUGGUUUGGAGCUGGGCGAGAUCGCUGGAUCUGUCUCCUCCUCCUUCUCUGCGUUAGAUCUCGGAUUGCGAUCGUCUGGAAAUCUACUGAGAGGUGAAUAAAGGCGUGGUUUCGUGAUCGUUCCUUCUCCGUGUACGAUUCGAAGCAAAUCCCUGUCUGACGAGUGCGAUCAGCUCGGACAGAGUUGAUUCCUAAUUGUUUUCUCUUUGAAAAAGCACUUUUGUGGAUCUCUUAUUUGAACGAAAGGAAAAAAGCAAGGUGUAAAUUUGGGGAAUAUAAAAUUCUGUUUAUUAGGUUUCAGAGGAAUUAGAAAGAUAACAAAUAAAAUUAUAAAUCUGAGGAUUUGUUCUCAUCGAUCGCUUGAGGGAAAGGAGUCAUCUUUGAUCGCUCGAGGGAAAGGAGUCAUCUUGGAAAAGAGAGCACAUGGCCGACCACGGUUUGGAGGGGAGCCAGCCAGUUGACCUUUCUAAGCAUCCGUCUGGCAUUGUUCCCACGCUCCAGAAUAUUGUGUCAACUGUUAAUUUGGACUGCAAGUUGGAUCUUAAAGCUAUUGCUUUGCAAGCUCGUAAUGCUGAGUACAAUCCCAAGCGUUUUGCUGCAGUUAUCAUGAGAAUAAGAGAGCCAAAAACCACAGCAUUGAUAUUUGCAUCAGGAAAAAUGGUUUGCACAGGAGCAAAAAGUGAACAACAAUCAAAACUUGCAGCACGGAAGUAUGCCCGCAUUAUCCAGAAGCUUGGGUUUCCAGCUAAGUUCAAGGAUUUCAAGAUUCAGAACAUUGUUGGUUCUUGUGAUGUCAAAUUCCCCAUAAGACUUGAGGGCCUUGCUUAUUCCCAUGGUGCUUUCUCUAGUUAUGAGCCAGAACUCUUUCCGGGCCUCAUAUAUCGGAUGAAGCAACCAAAGAUUGUACUUCUCAUUUUCGUUUCUGGCAAGAUUGUUCUUACUGGAGCUAAGGUGAGAGAUGAGACAUACACUGCAUUUGAGAAUAUAUAUCCUGUCCUCACAGAAUUCAGGAAAAGCCAGCAAUGAUGAUUCCGCUUCACCAGGUUCCGUUUGACUGCAAACCAAGAGGAGAAGUCUUCCCUUUGCUGAACUCUCAAAUGAGAGCUAUCCAAGCUGACAGAGACUCUCAUAUAAUGUCCAGCGACUGUUGCAGGGUAAGGAUGGCCUGGGCCAGAUUGCUGCUAGUGCUAUCAAUCCUCUUGAGUGUAUAUAGAUGAAGAAUUCCCGUAACAAGUUGUCCUUUGAUCUGAUGGUUGUAUAUCGUUUCUGAGCUGUCAGGAAUGCAGGCUGUUGUUAAGGGAUUCCCAUGAGUUAUGUUAUCAGGGCUAGAAGUGGAGGCAGUUUGAUGUGAUUUUAUUGUUCCUGGAGACACUGCCAAAAGAAAAGAAAUAAAUGUUAACCUGUUUUAUUGUCCAACUAACUCAUGCCAUGUUGGGAUUUCUUGAUGGUUGGGAGCAGUGUUUAUGAUGUUGCAACAAUGCGCAGCUGUAUUGCUUUAAUUUCGUACGGCAAAGAAAUUAUCUUGGGAA